CGGACGGGUGAGUAACACGUGGAUAACCUACCUAUAAGACUGGGAUAACUUCGGGAAACCGGAGCUAAUACCGGAUAAUAUAUUGAACCGCAUGGUUCAAUAGUGAAAGACGGUUUUGCUGUCACAUAUAGAUGGAUCCGCGCCGCAUUAGCUAGUUGGUAAGGUAACGGCUUACCAAGGCAACGAUGCGUAGCCGACCUGAGAGGGUGAUCGGCCACACUGGAACUGAGACACGGUCCAG
rnacentral:rRNA from 1 species